CUGUUGUUAUGAUCAAUGACGAAUUAAGCAGUAAAACAAUGGCUUACAAGAAUUCUUAAAAACAAUCACUGCGGUCUGGAUGAAUGAACUUUGUUUGUUCGUAAUGCGUCACUAGAAGCCUGUCAGUCCAACCAGGGGUGACGCAGCACCCAGUACGAUACAGUAAAGUGCAGUGGGAACAUCCGCCAUGCUGUGAAGCCCGUGCAGCAAAUUUCACAAUUGGUGCAUCGCUAGUUUCAUUUCUCUGUAGGGUCCUCUCCAUAAUGUUGUGACACUUAUAAUAACAACCUGAGCAUGCAAGUGG